rnacentral:rRNA from 1 species
AUUGAACGCUGGCGGCAUGCUUUACACAUGCAAGUCGAGCGGCAGCGCGGGGGCAACCCUGGCGGCGAGCGGCGAACGGGUGAGUAAUGCAUCGGAACGUACCCUGGAGUGGGGGAUAACGCCGCGAAAGCGGUGCUAAUACCGCAUAUGCUCUGAGGAGGAAAGUGGGGGACCGCAAGGCCUCACGCUCUGGGAGCGGCCGAUGUCCGAUUAGCUAGUUGGUGGGGUAAAGGCUUACCAAGGCGACGAUCGGUAGCUGGUCUGAGAGGAUGAUCAGCCACACUGGGACUGAGACACGGCCCAGACUCCUACGGGAGGCAGCAGUGGGGAAUUUUGGACAAUGGGGGGCAACCCUGAUCCAGCCAUGCCGCGUGAGUGAAGAAGGCCU